CAAAAUGUAGCUUAAAUAAAGCAUCUCGCUUACACCGAAAAGACAUCUGUGAAACUCGGAUCAUUUUGA
rnacentral:tRNA from 1 species